rnacentral:rRNA from 1 species
UACGAAUUGUGCACUCUUUAAUCGGAAUUACUGGGCGUAAAGCGCGCGUAGGUGGUUCAGCAAGUUGGAUGUGAAAUCCCCGGGCUCAACCUGGGAACUGCAUCCAAAACUACUGAGCUAGAGUACGGUAGAGGGUGGUGGAAUUUCCUGUGUAGCGGUGAAAUGCGUAGAUAUAGGAAGGAACACCAGUGGCGAAGGCGACCACCUGGACUGAUACUGACACUGAGGUGCGAAAGCGUGGGGAGCAAACAGGAGGCGAUAACAGCGUAGUCC